UUUUUGAAAAUAUGUUAAAGUUUUCUUAUUUCAUGAUUUUCUAGGAAGAUCAUAACCAGCCAUUGUUUGGAGUUCAGUUUAACUGGCACAGUAAGGAAGGAGAUCCUCUGGUGUUUGCAACUGUGGGAAGCAACAGAGUUACCUUAUAUGAGUGCCAUUCACAAGGGGAAAUCCGGUUAUUGCAGUCCUAUGUAGAUGCUGAUGUAUCCUUCUCUCGCUGCUUUUGUAUGGUUUAAAACAUUGAGUUUGAUAAGUACACUAAAACUUUUUUUUUUCCCGAGACGGGGUUUCCUCUGUGUAGCUCUGUAGACCGGGCUUGCCUCAAACUACAAAUAUACUGUCCUAUCUUUCUUUAGCUAGGAAUAUUAUCAUUGUUA